GGGUUGUGAGGUUAAGCGACUAAGCGUACACGGUGGAUGCCCUGGCAGUCAGAGGCGAUGAAGGACGUGCUAAUCUGCGAAAAGCGUCGGUAAGGUGAUAUGAACCGUUAUAACCGGCGAUGUCCGAAUGGGGAAACCCAGUGCAAUUCGUUGCACUAUCGUUAACUGAAUACAUAGGUUAACGAGGCGAACCGGGGGAACUGAAACAUCUAAGUACCCCGAGGAAAAGAAAUCAACCGAGAUUCCCCCAGUAGCGGCGAGCGAACGGGGAGCAGCCCAGAGUCUGAAUCAGCUUGUGUGUUAGUGGAACGGUCUGGAAAGUCCGACGGUACAGGGUGAUAGUCCCGUACACCAAAAUGCACAGGCUGUGAACUCGAAGAGUAGGGCGGGACACGUGGUAUCCUGUCUGAAUAUGGGGGGACCAUCCUCCAAGGCUAAAUACUCCUGACUGACCGAUAGUGAACCAGUACCGUGAGGGAAAGGCGAAAAGAACCCCGGCGAGGGGAGUGAAAAAGAACCUGAAACCGUGUACGUACAAGCAGUGGGAGCACCUUCGGGUGUGACUGCGUACCUUUUGUAUAAUGGGUCAGCGACUUAUAUUCUGUAGCAAGGUUAACCGUAUAGGGGAGCCGCAGGGAAACCGAGUCUUAACUGGGCGUUAAGUUGCAGGGUAUAGACCCGAAACCCGGUGAUCUAGCCAUGGGCAGGUUGAAGGUUGGGUAACACUAACUGGAGGACCGAACCGACUAAUGUUGAAAAAUUAGCGGAUGACUUGUGGCUGGGGGUGAAAGGCCAAUCAAACCGGGAGAUAGCUGGUUCUCCCCGAAAGCUAUUUAGGUAGCGCCUCGUGAACUCAUCUUCGGGGGUAGAGCACUGUUUCGGCUAGGGGGUCAUCCCGACUUACCAACCCGAUGCAAACUACGAAUACCGAAGAAUGUUAUCACGGGAGACACACGGCGGGUGCUAACGUCCGUCGUGAAGAGGGAAACAACCCAGACCGCCAGCUAAGGUCCCAAAGUCAUGGUUAAGUGGGAAACGAUGUGGGAAGGCACAGACAGCCAGGAUGUUGGCUUAGAAGCAGCCAUCAUUUAAAGAAAGCGUAAUAGCUCACUGGUCGAGUCGGCCUGCGCGGAAGAUGUAACGGGGCUAAACCAUGCACCGAAGCUGCGGCAGCGACACUAUGUGUUGUUGGGUAGGGGAGCGUUCUGUAAGCCUGCGAAGGUGUGCUGUGAGGCAUGCUGGAGGUAUCAGAAGUGCGAAUGCUGACAUAAGUAACGAUAAAGCGGGUGAAAAGCCCGCUCGCCGGAAGACCAAGGGUUCCUGUCCAACGUUAAUCGGGGCAGGGUGAGUCGACCCCUAAGGCGAGGCCGAAAGGCGUAGUCGAUGGGAAACAGGUUAAUAUUCCUGUACUUGGUGUUACUGCGAAGGGGGGACGGAGAAGGCUAUGUUAGCCGGGCGACGGUUGUCCCGGUUUAAGCAUGUAGGCUGGUUAUCCAGGCAAAUCCGGAUAAUCAAGGCUGAGGUGUGAUGACGAGGCACUACGGUGCUGAAGUAACAAAUGCCCUGCUUCCAGGAAAAGCCUCUAAGCAUCAGGUAACAUCAAAUCGUACCCCAAACCGACACAGGUGGUCAGGUAGAGAAUACCAAGGCGCUUGAGAGAACUCGGGUGAAGGAACUAGGCAAAAUGGUGCCGUAACUUCGGGAGAAGGCACGCUGGUGUGUAGGUGAAGUCCCUGCGGAUGGAGCUGAGACCAGUCGAAGAUACCAGCUGGCUGCAACUGUUUAUUAAAAACACAGCACUGUGCAAACACGAAAGUGGACGUAUACGGUGUGACGCCUGCCCGGUGCCGGAAGGUUAAUUGAUGGGGUUAUCCGUAAGGAGAAGCUCUUGAUCGAAGCCCCGGUAAACGGCGGCCGUAACUAUAACGGUCCUAAGGUAGCGAAAUUCCUUGUCGGGUAAGUUCCGACCUGCACGAAUGGCGUAAUGAUGGCCAGGCUGUCUCCACCCGAGACUCAGUGAAAUUGAACUCGCUGUGAAGAUGCAGUGUACCCGCGGCAAGACGGAAAGACCCCGUGAACCUUUACUAUAGCUUGACACUGAACAUUGAGCCUUGAUGUGUAGGAUAGGUGGGAGGCUUUGAAGCGUGGACGCCAGUCUGCGUGGAGCCAACCUUGAAAUACCACCCUUUAAUGUUUGAUGUUCUAACGUUGGCCCCUUACCGGGGUUGCGGACAGUGUCUGGUGGGUAGUUUGACUGGGGCGGUCUCCUCCCAAAGCGUAACGGAGGAGCACGAAGGUUAGCUAAUCCUGGUCGGACAUCAGGAGGUUAGUGCAAUGGCAUAAGCUAGCUUGACUGCGAGCGUGACGGCGCGAGCAGGUGCGAAAGCAGGUCAUAGUGAUCCGGUGGUUCUGAAUGGAAGGGCCAUCGCUCAACGGAUAAAAGGUACUCCGGGGAUAACAGGCUGAUACCGCCCAAGAGUUCAUAUCGACGGCGGUGUUUGGCACCUCGAUGUCGGCUCAUCACAUCCUGGGGCUGAAGUAGGUCCCAAGGGUAUGGCUGUUCGCCAUUUAAAGUGGUACGCGAGCUGGGUUUAGAACGUCGUGAGACAGUUCGGUCCCUAUCUGCCGUGGGCGCUGGAGAAUUGAGGGGGGCUGCUCCUAGUACGAGAGGACCGGAGUGGACGCAUCACUGGUGUUCGGGUUGUCAUGCCAAUGGCACUGCCCGGUAGCUAAAUGCGGAAGAGAUAAGUGCUGAAAGCAUCUAAGCACGAAACUUGCCCCGAGAUGAGUUCUCCCUGAGACUUUAAGUCUCCUGAAGGAACGUUGAAGACGACGACGUUGAUAGGCCGGGUGUGUAAGCGCAGCGAUGCGUUGAGCUAACCGGUACUAAUGAACCGUGAGGCUUAACCUUACAACGCCGAAG
rnacentral:rRNA from 2 species